rnacentral:rRNA from 1 species
AACGAACGCUGGCGGUAGGCCUAACACAUGCAAGUCGAGCGCCCAGCAAUGGGAGCGGCAGACGGGUGAGUAACGCGUGGGGAUGUGCCCAAUGGUGCGGAAUAACCCAGGGAAACUUGGAUUAAUACCGCAUGUGCCCUUCGGGGGAAAGAUUUAUCGCCAUUGGAUCAACCCGCGUCUGAUUAGCUAGUUGGUGAGGUAAAGGCUCACCAAGGCGACGAUCAGUAGCUGGUCUGAGAGGAUGAUCAGCCACACUGGGACUGAGACACGGCCCAGACUCCUACGGGAGGCAGCAGUGGGGAAUAUUGGACAAUGGGCGCAAGCCUGAUCCAGCCAUGCCGCGUGAGUGAUGAAGGCCUUAGGGUUGUAAAGCUCUUUCGCCGGUGAAGAUAAUGACGGUAACCGGAGAAGAAGCCCCGGCUAACUUCGUGCCAGCCGCCGCAGUAA